rnacentral:ncRNA from 2 species
CCAAUAGCGUAUAUUAAAGUUGUUGCAGUUAAAAAGCUCGUAGUUGAAUUUUGGGUUUGGCCGAUUGGUCCGUUCUUGUAGCGAGUACUGGUCGGUUGGGCCUCACCGCUUGGGGAAGGGUAAUGUCCUUUAUUGGGUGUUGCUCGGAGCCAAGACCUUUACCUUGAAAAAAUUAGAGUGUUUAAAGCAGGCUUAUGCCGGAAUACAUUAGCAUGGAAUAAUAGAAUAGGACAACGAUUCUAUUUUGUUGGUUUCUAGGACCGUUGUAAUGAUUAAUAGGGAUAGUUGGGGGCAUUAGUAUUCAAUUGUCAGAGGUGAAAUUCUUGGAUUUAUUGAAGACUAACUACUGCGAAAGCAUUUGCCAAGGAUGUUUUCAUUAAUCAAGAACGAAAGUUAGGGGAUCGAAGACGAUCAGAUACCGUCGUAGUCUUAACCAUAAACUAUGCCGACUAGGGAUCGGGCGAUGUUGUUUCAAUGACUCGCUCGGCACCUUAUG